AUUGAACGCUGGCGGCGUGCCUAACACAUGCAAGUCGAGCGGUAACAGGUGUAGCAAUACAUGCUGACGAGCGGCGGACGGGUGAGUAACGCUUGGGAAUCUGCCUAUUAGUGGGGGACAACCCGGGGAAACUCGGGCUAAUACCGCAUACGCUCUACGGAGGAAAGCCGGGGACCGCAAGGCCUGGCGCUAAUAGAUGAGCCCAAGUCAGAUUAGCUAGUUGGA
rnacentral:rRNA from 1 species